GAUGAACGCUGGCCGCGUGCCUAAUACAUGCAAGUCGGGCGGCAGCGAGUUUUGCACUAUUUGCUUGAGAGAUGAGAUUUAUUUCAUCAUUACCUCGAGUGAGUGGUGCAGAAUGUCGGCGAGCGGCGGACGGCUGAGUAACGCGUGGGAACGUGCCCCAAAGUGAGGAAUAACUGCCCGAAAGGGUAGCUAAUGCCGCA
rnacentral:rRNA from 1 species